rnacentral:sRNA from 1 species
AGCGCUCGUCCACUCCGGGUUUGAGCGCGCCGUCCGCACCCAUCCGACGAAUGCUCGCGACAUUGUGUUAGCC